rnacentral:rRNA from 1 species
AAAAUGGAGAGUUUGAUCCUGGCUCAGGAUGAACGCUGGCGGCGUGCCUAACACAUGCAAGUCGAACGAAGCCUUUUAGGCUUAGCCUAGAAGGCUUAGUGGCGGACGGGUGAGUAACGCGUGAGAAUCUCCCUUCAGGAUGGGGACAACCGUUGGAAACGACGGCUAAUCCCCAAUGUGCCGAGAGGUGAAAAGGGUUUCCGCCUGAAGAAGAGCUCGCGUCCGAUUAGUUAGUUGGUGAGGUAAGAGCUCACCAAGGCAGCGAUCGGUAGCUGGUCUGAGAGGAUGAGCAGCCACACUGGGACUGAGACACGGCCCAGACUCCUACGGGAGGCAGCAGUGGGGAAUUUUCCGCAAUGGGCGAAAGCCUGACGGAGCAACGCCGCGUGUGGGAAGAAGGCUCUUGGGCUGUCAACCACUUUUCUCAGGGAAGAAGACCUGACGGUACCUGAGGAAUCAGCCUCGGCUAACUCCGUGCCAGCAGCCGCGGUAAUACGGAGGAGGCAAGCGUUAUCCGGAAUUAUUGGGCGUAAAGCGUCCGCAGGGGGCGCAUCAAGUCUGCUGUUAAAGGUCGGAGCUUAACUCCGGUAGAGCAGUGGAAACUGGUGCGCUAGAGGGCGACAGGGGUAGAGGGAAUUCCCAGUGUAGCGGUGAAAUGCGUAGAGAUUGGGAAGAACACCGGUGGCGAAAGCGCUCUACUGGGUCGCACCUGACCCUCAGGGACGAAAGCUAAGGUAGCGAAAGGGAUUAGAUACCCCUGUAGUCUUAGCCGUAAACGAUGGAUACUAGGCGUGGCUUGUAUCGACCCAAGCCGUGCCGAAGCUAACGCGUUAAGUAUCCCGCCUGGGGAGUACGCACGCAAGUGUGAAACUCAAAGGAAUUGACGGGGGCCCGCACAAGCGGUGGAGGAUGUGGUUUAAUUCGAUGCAACGCGAAGAACCUUACCAGGGCUUGACAUGCCGCGAAUCUUCCUGAAAGGGAAGAGUGCCUUCGGGAGCGCGGACACAGGUGGUGCAUGGCUGUCGUCAGCUCGUGUCGUGAGAUGUUGGGUUAAGUCCCGCAACGAGCGCAACCCUCGUCCUUAGUUGCCAGCAUUAAGUUGGGCACUCUAGGGAGACUGCCGGUGACAAACCGGAGGAAGGUGAGGAUGACGUCAAGUCAGCAUGCCCCUUAUGCUCUGGGCAACACACGUCCUACAAUGGUCGGGACAAAGGGGAGCAAGCUCGCGAGAGUAAGCGAAUCCCAUCAAACUCGGCCUCAGUUCAGAUUGCAGGCUGCAACUCGCCUGCAUGAAGGAGGAAUCGCUAGUAAUCGCAGGUCAGCAUACUGCGGUGAAUUCGUUCCCGGGCCUUGUACACACCGCCCGUCACACCAUGGAAGCUGGCCAAGCCCGAAGUCGUUACCCUAACCGUAUGGAGGGGGGCGCCGAAGGCUGGGCUGGUGACUGGGGUGAAGUCGUAACAAGGUAGCCGUACCGGAAGGUGUGGCUGGAUCACCUCCUUA